rnacentral:rRNA from 1 species
GACGAACGCUGGCGGCGUGCUUAACACAUGCAAGUCGAACGGAAAGGCCCUGCUUUUGUGGGGUGCUCGAGUGGCGAACGGGUGAGUAACACGUGAGUAACCUGCCCUUGACUUUGGGAUAACUUCAGGAAACUGGGGCUAAUACCGGAUAGGAGCUCCUGCUGCAUGGUGGGGGUUGGAAAGUUUCGGCGGUUGGGGAUGGACUCGCGGCUUAUCAGCUUGUUGGUGGGGUAGUGGCUUACCAAGGCUUUGGAGGGUAGCCGGCCUGGGAGGGUGACCGGCCACAUUGGGCCUGAGGUACGGCCCAGACUCCUACGGGAGGCAGCAGUGGGGAAUAUUGCACAAUGGGCGGAAGCCUGAUGCAGAAACGCCGGGUGCGGGAUGACGGCCUUCGGGUUGUAAACCGCUUUCGCCUGUGACGAAGCGUGAGUGACGGUAAUGGGUAAAGAAGCACCGGCUAACUACGUG